rnacentral:rRNA from 1 species
CCUAACACAUGCAAGUCGAACGGUAACAGGAAACAGCUUGCUGUUUCGCUGACGAGUGGCGGACGGGUGAGUAAUGUCUGGGAAACUGCCUGAUGGAGGGGGAUAACUACUGGAAACGGUAGCUAAUACCGCAUAACGUCGCAAGACCAAAGAGGGGGACCCUCGGGCCUCUUGCCAUCGGAUGUGCCCAGAUGGGAUUAGCUUGUUGGUGGGGUAACGGCUCACCAAGGCGACGAUCCCUAGCUGGUCUGAGAGGAUGACCAGCCACACUGGAACUGAGACACGGUCCAGACUCCUACGGGAGGCAGCAGUGGGGAAUAUUGCACAAUGGGCGCAAGCCUGAUGCAGCCAUGCCGCGUGUAUGAAGAAGGCCUUCGGGUUGUAAAGACUUUCA